rnacentral:misc_RNA from 1 species
GAUGAAGAACGUAGCGAAAUGCGAUAAGUAAUGUGAAUUGCAGAAUUCAGUGAAUCAUCGAAUCUUUGAACGCACAUUGCGCCCGGCAGCAAUCUGCCGGGCAUGCCUGUCCGAGCGUCAUUUCUUCCCUCGAGCGCGGCUAGCCCUACGGGGCCUGCCGUCGCCCGGUGUUGGGGCUCUACGGGUGGGGCUCGUCCCCCCCGCAGUCCCCGAAAUGUAGUGGCGGUCCAGCCGCGGCGCCCCCUGCGUAGUAGAUCCUACAUCUCGCAUCGGGUCCCGGCGAAGGCCAGCCGUCGAACCUUUUAUUUCAUGGUUUGACCUCGGAUCAGGUAGGGUCACCCGCUGAACUUAAGCAUAUCAAUAAGCGGAGGA